rnacentral:rRNA from 1 species
CCCUUAGAUGUUCUGGGCUGCACACGUGCUACACUGGCAGGUUCAGCGAGCUUCAUGCCCUGAUCUGAAAGGAAUGGGAAAUCUUUUCAAAACCUGCCGUGCUUGGGAUAGAUGUUUGCAAUUAUUCAUCUUCAACGAGGAUUGCCUUGUAAGCGCACGUCAUCAGCGUGCAUUGAAUACGACCCUGUAUUCUGUACACACCGCCCGUCGCUCCUACCGAUUGAAGUUUUCGGUGAGUUGACAGGAGGAUUUUUUUGAAACUGGGUCGCCAGUGGAUUUUAGAUCCAAAUGCCAACGAAUCGAUGGCUUUAGAGGAAGGAGAAGUCGUAACA